rnacentral:tRNA from 1 species
CUUUUAGUGGCUGAUAAAAGCAUUGGCCUCUUAAGCCAACUUAUGGAUAAACCCUAAAAGA